CCGGGUUCGCUAGUGAACAAACGAGUGCCUGGAUUGGCCAGAAGUUAUGGUGGGUGGUUGUAACAGCCUAUUGCAACGGACAAUCGUAGACCAAGUAAAAAAAAAAGUUGCAGUUGCCGUGUGCCUUAAGAAGCAGCCUUUUAGCAGAGUCAUUCGGUAACGGUACGAGCGCAUCAAAACAAAGCUUUGUUUGAAUUGGAUGCAAGCAGAUGUGCAGUCAAAUGACAGGCGACAGUAGCAGAAGCACGAAGUCUCACCUCGGCACUCGGGGAGGAGCCUCGCCACUUGUCCACGCAGCCCAUGAGGUCGUCGCUCCAGCCGUCGAAGUCCGCCUCCACGCUGCCGUGCCGGCUGGUCGCCGUGUCCUCGUCCCCCAGGCCGAGCUUGGCGACGCGCGUCGCCCGCAGCUUGUGCAGCCAGCGGUCCACCUGCCGCGCCACCUGCCCCCGGAUCAGGCUUUUGACAACCCACCAGCGUCAGCCUUACCAGAGGUGCUAAACACUUACCUGAGCCAUCUGUAGUAGGUCUUCAAAAGGUUUCAGUACCAAUACCAAAAAAAAAUUACGUUUUGCAACUUUAGCUAGCUCAAUAACUUACAAUACUAUAGACUAUACAACCAAACACGAAGUAGGAGGAAAGAAAAGGGUCAGACAGUAAAAAUGACAAAUGAAGAAGAAAGAAUGGUGGAGAUGGAAGAAGAGGAAAAGGUACUGUGGGGUAAUUAUUUUGAAAAACAGCUGAAACCCAGACACAAGUAAGAAUGAAGAAGAGACAGACAGCAGGAAGUCACAUGGAAAGAGAUAGAGGAAGAACUGAAAAGAAUGAAGAAUUACAAAGCUUCAGGAAUGGAGAAGCUAACAGUAGAAAUUAUAAGAGCAACAGGAGAAGUAGGAAUUCAUUGGCUGUUUAGAGUGAUGAGGUGUAUUUGGAAAUACUGAAGUAAAUGAGUAAUAGUGCCAGUGUUUAGGAAAGGAGACAGAAAAAGAUGUGACAACAAUAGGGGGAUCACUUUGAUGUUCCACUGUAAAAAGGUGUAUGGGAAGAUCUUGAAAAAGAAGAUAAGAAGGGGGAUAUGAGAUUCAGUAUUAAAAAGAGUGAAGUAAUGGUCAUGAUGAGAAAAAAAAAUGGAGUUAGAUGGUGUUUUGUUGAACCACGUAGAAAGUUUCGAUGAGAUGGUGCAAGAAAGAGCAGGAGGGCAGGACUUGAAAAAGAAAGAGAUAGUAUGGCCAUGUCCUGAGAAUGACAAAAGAGAGGUUGCCUAGGAAAAUGGAGUUAAAGUACACUGAAAAAGACCACAAAAAGGGUCAAGGAGGAGAUGGGAAGAGUAGCUAGUUAAAGGAGUGCAGGAGAGUGGAGAAGACUCGAAACAAGUGAAGGAUGAAGAAUGGGGGAGGUAGAGAGGAAGACAGAGGCAUUUUACUUUGCUGAUGCAACCACAGGCUGGAAGCCGUUGAUGAUGAUGAUGAUGAUGAUUUUGAUGAUGAUGAUGAUGUUGAUGAUGAUGAUGAUGACUAUAGAAUAAAAGACUUCCUUUUAAACUCAUUUCAUGUUUCCAAUGAAAAUUGAAUCUGUUUUUUUUAGCAUUGGCAUUAUCUUCAUACAUUUUCCUCUCAUACACAUGGAUGACUUGCACAUUUAAAUACCCGGUUUUCCUUUCUGACAGUUUUUUUGUACUUUAGAGUUUAUUUUGAAUGCUAUCACACACUAUAUAGACUGUAUUUGUAACACAGAAAAUAAUUCACAUACAACGCCAUUAUCAACACAAGCAGAAACAUAAAGUGUUUAGUAGCUGGUGUGUUAGCCAACUGUAACUAACUGAACUCACACACAAAAUCAACAACACCGAUCGAUACGACCUGAAAACAACUGACUGUCAUGAUGUCAACACUCCAGUUUGUUAUCUAAGACAGUCAAAUAGUUAGAAGAUGUGUCAUGCCAUGUAAGACACAAUCUUGAAAAUUUUUAAUUUCCACACGUACUACACAGCAAUCAAGUAAAAAAAUUUAGUUUGAAGUGUGAAAAUACUUAGUAUAGUAAUCUCAUUCACGAUUCCAUAGUGGCAUACAAUAACACGUAUAAACUAUGAAAAAUUUGUACAUAGUGCUUGGCAACUCUGCACUGCGUGCCAUCAGCGCCACCAAACCAGCCAUGCAUGUGCAAUUAUUCUUAAUUCUGAUGUACUGAACACAUUUCCCCUGACCAAUCCACUUUUGUAAAGUAAUAAAUGAUUAUUUGUCCAAGGUUACAGUAGCCUCCAUACCAAUUCUCAGUGAAUAGGCCUAGCAAAAUGUUUAAACUAGCUAGUUACAGUACUUUAAAGCUGCGACACCAAAAUUAGGGAUAGGUCGAUUCCACAGUUCUUCGAUUCUGAUUCCACAAUUUCCCUUGAUUCCAGGUUUGAUUCAGAUUCUAAUUUCCAAUUUUACUUCCUUUCUGAAUGAAAUUAUGGAAAUUCAAGCACAAGGUUAACGUAAAGAAUAACCCUUAAGAAGUCUAAAUAUAUGUACAUUAUCUGAAAAUUUACAUUUGAAAAGCUUGUAAGUAUUGCGAAAUACAUAAUUCAAACUGAUAUAAAUCCA